rnacentral:rRNA from 1 species
GAUGAACGCUGGCGGCGUGCCUAAUACAUGCAAGUCGAGCGAACGGACGAGAAGCGUGCUUCUCUGAUGUUAGCGGCGGACGGGUGAGUAACACGUGGAUAACCUACCUAUAAGACUGGGAUAACUUCGGGAAACCGGAGCUAAUACCGGAUGAUAUUUUGAACCGCAUGGUUCAAAAGUGAAAGACGGUCUUGCUGUCACUUAUAGAUGGAUCCGCGCUGCAUUAGCUAGUUGGUAAGGUAACGGCUUACCAAGGCAACGAUGCAUAGCCGACCUGAGAGGGUGAUCAGCCACACUGGAACUGAGACACGGCCCAGACUCCUACGGGAGGCAGCAGUAGGGAAUCUUCCGCAAUGGGCGCAAGCCUGACGGAGCAACGCCGCGUGCGUGAUGAAGGUCUUCGGAUCGUAAACCUCUGUUAUUAGGGAAGAACAUAUGUGUAAGUAACUGUGCACAUCUUGACGGUACCGAAUCAGAAAGCCCCGGCUAACUACGUG